rnacentral:rRNA from 1 species
GACGAACGCUGGCGGCGUGCCUAAUACAUGCAAGUUGAGCGCUGAAGGUUGGUACUUGUACCGACUGGAUGAGCAGCGAACGGGUGAGUAACGCGUGGGGAAUCUGCCUUUGAGCGGGGGACAACAUUUGGAAACGAAUGCUAAUACCGCAUAAAAACUUUAAACACAAGUUUUAAGUUUGAAAGAUGCAAUUGCAUCACUCAAAGAUGAUCCCGGGUGGUAUUAGCUAGUUGGUAAGGUAAAGGCUUACCAAGGCAAUGAUCCAUAGCCGACCGUAAAGGUGGACCGGCCACAUGGGAACUGGACACCGGCCAAAACCCCAACGGGGGGCGCAGGAAGGGAACCUUGGGCAAGGGGGGAAAGCCUGACGGAGCAACGCGGCGGGGUGGAGGAAGGUCUUGGGUUGGUAAAACCCGUUGAUAGGGGAGAAACAUGGUGGGAAUGAACAGCGCACAAAGUGACGGUACCUAAUCAGAAAGCGACGGCUAACUACGUG